rnacentral:rRNA from 1 species
CGAACGCUGGCGGCGUGCUUAACACAUGCAAGUCGAACGGUGAAGCGCCUUCCUUUUUGGUGGGUGUGGAUGAGUGGCGAACGGGUGAGUAACACGUGAGUAACCUGCCCCCUUCUUCUGGAUAACCGCAUGAAAGUGUGGCUAAUACGGGAUAUUCUGGGUCUGUCGCAUGAUGGGUCUGGGAAAGAUAUUGUUUCGGUGGGGGAUGGGCUCGCGGCCUAUCAGCUUGUUGGUGGGGUGAUGGCCUACCAAGGCGGUGACGGGGGGCCGGCCUGGGAGGGUGGCCGGUCACACUGGGACUGAGCCACGGCCCAGACUCCUACGGGAGGCAGCAGUGGGGAAUAUUGCACAAUGGGCGCAAGCCUGAUGCAGCGACGCCGCGUGAGGGAUGGAGGCCUUCGGGUUGUGAACCUCUUUCGCCAGUGAAGCAGGCCUGCCUCGUUUGUGGGUGGGUUGACGGUAGCUGGAGAAGAAGCGCCGGCUAACUACGUG